AUUGAACGCUGGCGGCGUGCUUAACACAUGCAAGUCGAUCGGUAACGCGGGGGCAACCCUGGCGACGAGAGGCGGACGGGUGAGGAACGCUUGGGAAUCUACCUAUCAGCGGGGGACAACACGGGGAAACUCGUGCUAAUACCGCAUACGCUCUACGGAGGAAAGCCGGGGACCGCAAGGCCUGGCACUGAUAGAUGAGCCCAAGCCGGAUUAGCUAGUUGGCGGGGUAACGGCCCACCAAGGCGACGAUCCGUAGCUGGUCUGAGAGGACGAUCAGCCACACUGGGACUGAGACACGGCCCAGACUCCUACGGGAGGCAGCAGGGGGGAAUAUUGGACAAUGGGGGAAACCCUGAUCCAGCGACGCCGCGUGGGUGAAGAAGGCCUGCGGGUUGUAAAGCCCUUUCGGUAGGGACGAAAGCUCUCGACCUAACACGUCGGGAGGUUGACUUAACCUACAAAAGAAGCACCGGCUAACUCUGUGCCAGCCGCCGCAGUAAGAC
rnacentral:rRNA from 1 species